GUUUUAGUAGCUAAAAAAUAGCAGUUCAGUGAAGUUGAGAAGUUAAAUAUAUUAUUUUUAAAACA
rnacentral:tRNA from 1 species